rnacentral:tRNA from 1 species
GGAUUUAGCUCAGUGGUAGAGCGCUUGCCUAGCAAGCGCAAGGCCCUGGGUUCGUUCCCCAGGUCCG